UCUAUCUAAAUUCUAUAUCUCUAACUACUGUGCUAUCUGUCAAUAUCUAACUUAGCCUAUAUAAAUGUGUCACUAUAUCUAUCCUAACUAUCUGUCACUGUCUUUAGUUUAUCAGUAAAUAUAUUUAACUUAAAUGUAACCUAAAUAUAACUAACUAAAUCGCACUAUAAAUGUCAAUAAAUCGUAAACGCUAUCUCAAAAUCUUUCUCCUCUCACAAAAACCCAUGAGGUGAAGGUGCAUUAACUCCUCUUUUAAACUUUGUGGCAGUUGAGACAGAUGUGCGAUUGUGUGGUUUGUUCCCGCCCCUGUCAAUCAAACGCAGACUCGGCAAGCGUGCCACCUGUCGGUCGAGACACUUAUGAAACGCGCAGAAGCUUCGUUUAGCCAUAGUCACGUGACAUGGGUGUUUUGAAUCACGGUUCGGAGCAGUGUUUCGAAACAUCUACGCUUCGGGAUCUCGACACUGUGUCGAAACGUUAGUUUCGCGUCAGCCAUCCCUACAUUCAUAUAGCUCACUCUUUUUAAAGGUUCAAGUCAUGUCGUAUGAAAGCUGAGAAAAUUAGGAUUCAGGGGACGUUUUAAACAUGUCUCUCUACUCCUCAUAAUCACGGAGAAAUGAAUCGAAACGCUUUAGGGAAAGGCGUGCAAGGAGACAUGUCCCAGGCAGUGUUCAAGCCUAACAGACCAAAGAAAACUCCAGCUCUUCACAGAGUUUUAUGCUGUCUCUUAUGAGAGGCAGCAGGCUAUCAUUCUCUCUGGUUUGGAGCAGCACAAGGUGAGUCGCAGACGACCACGUGGGCCCAACACUGAGAAUACUAAGAGGAAGUACACCUUCAAGUACCAUGUGCAACAAGGAGGUCAAAGACUUGCUGUUUGUAAGCUCACAUUUAUGUCAGUCUUUCAACUGACCAACAGUCGCCUACAGGCAAGUUUUAAACAGCCUAGCUUUUUCCGUUUGUUAACUUUUUAUUACAUGCAUGAUUUUAAUUAGAUACAUUGUCCAUAACAUAUUUAUUUAAAGUUACUUAUCUUUGAAAAGGUUAUUCAAGAAAAGUUAGGCAGUCAGUCUGAGGGAACAGAGCAGGUAGUCAGGUCUCCAUUAGAGGACUUCAGAGGAAAACAUAAGAACAGGUAAAAAAAAAAAAAAAAAAAAAUCCUGGAAGGACCUCAUGCUCUCGUCCUAUUAGUUUUUAAAGCUGCACCAAUGUCAGCAUCAGUUGCCCUACAACAUUCCCUGAUCUAAUGGUGCACUUGACGCUGGCAUUAUAGGGCGUCGGGUGCCUUGCCACCCUAUAACGCCAGCAUGCACAAACUGUAAUGGUUAGGAUUCAGCUCACUGUUGUUGCCCAGUCAGGAAACAUAUUUUUGCACUUUGAGAUCGAUAUCAGAGGUAAAGUGCUAUGCAAAUGUAAUGUAUGAUCCCGGGAUUUCGAGAUCGGCCAAAAUGUCCGGGAUUAGGCUUUUGCAUUCUACAGUUGCCAUUCAUUGUGUUUACUGUGGCAAGCAGGACGAGGAGAACGGCGCAAGGCCGGUGGCGUGAUUACUGAUGAGCGACACCUGUGAGACGCACCGGUCUCGUAUCUCUCACGGAGGAGCAGGAAUUUUCUUAGCAAUGCUAAAACGCACACAUCAAUCGAUCACAUGUUUAGCGUUCAUGUAAACACUACAUUCAGAUUCACCAAUCAGAAUGAAUUCAGUUAGAUUGAAACAAAAUGUGUGCAUGUAAGCAAUGACAAUUUUUGCGUCAUAUGAGGAUUUUUUCCAGACAAAAAAUACAUAAAUCUCUCAUCUCAGGGGGAUAUGAGGGAGGAAAGCAUGGUAAUUCGAAAAUACUACUGGUUUUCUACUAAUACAAAGCUUAAUGCUAAAUCCUGAGAAUCCCAUUAAUGAUUGUUUGUGAAAAACAAAAUCCUAUAGUUUAGAGAAAAGUUUACAAUUAUAUUAAAUUUUAUUGUCACAGAAACAAUGCAAUUGUGCAAAACAGACCAGCAUAGUUUAUUAUAUUUCCCUUGUUCAUGAGUUGUGUUGUUUAUUUUUUAGGACUCAUAGCAUUCAUCCUGCAGUGAGAGAGGGGAUAAGAGAGCACAUCCUGAGCUUCCCACGCCAACCGAACCACUACUCACAGAUGAAGGGAGAUGUGGAGAGGGAGUACCUGAGCCCUGAUUUAAACCUGCUCCGCAUGUUCCGCCUGUACAAGGAAAACAAUCCAGCAUCCACUGCAAAGUUCUGGCUCUAUAGGGACAUCUUCAAGCAGCAAAACCUCAGUUUUGGGCAGCCAAGAAGUGAUACUUGUGCAAAAUGUGACGCCCUGUUCUCAAAAUUAGUAGCUACUACAACAGAUGGAGAAAGGUUGAAGAUCACAGCCAAGAGUGAGCUUCACCACCGGAAAGCCGAAAAAGCAUACACCCAGUUGCAGGCUGAAACAGAGUGGGCCAAAGCCAAUGAUGACUGCCAUGUCAUUUGUAUCGACAUGCAGGGGGUAGUGUACACGCCAAACCUGGCACACUCCAACGUGUACUAUCAACGGCAGCUGGCCAACUACAACCUCUGUAUCCAGGAGAUGGGCACUGACAAACCUCCUACAAUGUGCCUCUGGCAUGAGGGCAUCGCUCACAGAGGUUCCAUCGAGGUGGCAAGCUGUCUUUUGAAGUGGGCAGAAACAUCUUUCGCUCCCCUAGUCCAGGCAAAGGAACGGAAGCUCAUCAUCUAUAGUGACCGAUGCUGUGGGCAGAACAACAACUGGCGAGUCCUAAACCUCAUGGCCCUACUCGUAUCUAGAGGGUACUUCAGUCAGAUAGAGCAGAAGUUCAUGGUGUCUGGUCACUCCUUCCUUCCCUGUGACCGUUCAUUUGCCACGCUGGACAAGAGGCGUAAGGUGUCCACACUCCACACCCCAGCGAUGUCGCCGAGAUGAUCCGUGGAGCCAGGCAGCUGCAUCCAUUUAAAGUAAUUGAGAUGAAAUGUGCGGACUUCAGGCAGCUCCCUGAUGCAACAUUAAAGCAUCCACCUGGCUUCCUAAUCACAUCCAUGAUGUGGUUGAAAGUGACAGCUACUGAUCCAUGGUGUGUCCACACAAAAGGGAGCCACAGCCUCUACGAGGGAUGGAAGCAUUGGCUGAUCACCAAACAGAGGAAGAAUCAACCACCUCCAGCUCCCUUGUUCUCCACCACGUAUGCUCGUGCUUACGAGGACCCUUUGCCCAUCAAGAAGGAGAAGCACCGUGACCUUAUGAAAAUGCUAGCCUACAUGCCAGCGGAGGCCCAAGCAUUUUAUGGGACAUUAGAAUGUGAAGAGUAGCCUGGUAUGUGUAGGUCAUGUGCAGGGAAAGGUGGGAUAUAUUGUGUAUGUUGUGUGAAAUUAAUCAUAAAAGUAGUUGUAGCUUAUCUUGUAUGCCUUAUCUUAUGUUGUAUAAUAGGAAUAUAUAGGUAUUUAUUUUAUUUUAUUUAGAACCAAAAAAAGGAAGACGUAUAUUGUAAACUAGCAUAUAGAACCAGCAUGGAAUGAAGAUGAUGUAUGUCUCUAUUGUAAAUAUGUAUUGUUUACCAUUAUUACUGUUUAUUGUUUGUAUUUAUUGUUUAUUGUAUGUACUGACGUUUAUUUUCUGUACUAUAAGUAGGCCUAUGUAUUGUUCAUUGUUCGUACCGUAUUGUCCGCGUUUUUGUUCUGUGAUUUACGUUGGCAAAAAAUAAAAAAAAUUGAAAGAAAGAAAUGCUUAAUAUUUUCUUUAAGGUUCUGUUACUGUAUUAAAACUAAGAUAAAGGAAUCAAAUCUCCAGUGGUUUAAAUUGAUAUGAUUAAUUGGACUUAUACUGUUAUUCCACAUUAACUGGACAUAUACUGUUCUUCCACAUUCCAGAAAUGUAAAUUACUCUAACUUUUUAUUUUUAAGAUUGA